rnacentral:rRNA from 1 species
UACGUAGGGGGCAAGCGUUGUCCGGAUUUAUUGGGCGUAAAGAGCGUGUAGGCGGCCAGGUAGGUCCGUUGUGAAAACUCGAGGCUUAACCUCGAGCUGUCGGUGGAAACCAUCUGGCUAGAGUCCGGAAGAGGAGAGUGGAAUUCCUGGUGUAGCGGUGAAAUGCGCAGAUAUCAGGAAGAACACCCGUGGCGAAGGCGGCUCGCUGGGACGGUACUGACGCUGAGACGCGAAAGCGUGGGGAGCGAACAGG